UUGCUCUGGCAGGACAUAUAUACUAAAAUUGGAAGAUUAGCAUGGCCCCUGUGCAAUGAUGACACACACAUUCAUGAAGCGUUUCCAUAUUUU
rnacentral:snRNA from 1 species